AGUGGCGAACGGGUGAGUAACGCGUGGGAAACCUGCCUUCGAGCGGGGGAUAACAUUCCUAACGGAAUGCUAAUACCGCAUAACAUCAUAGGUCGCAUGACCUGUGAUCAAAGAUAGCCUCUACAUGUAAGCUGUCGCUUGAAGAUGGUCCCGCGUCCCAUUAGCUUGUUGGUAGGGUAACGGCCUACCAAGGCUUCGAUGGGUAGCCGGCCUGAGAGGGUGACCGGCCACACUGGGACUGAGACACGGCCCAGACUCCUACGGGAGGCAGCAGUCGAGAGGCUUCGGCAAUGGGGGAAACCCUGACCGAGCGACGCCGCGUGGACGAUGAAGUUUUUCGGAAUGUAAAGUCCUGUCAUACGGGAUGAAAAGCCGAUUGGUUAAUAACCUUUUGGUCUGACAGUACCGUAAGAGGAAGCUCCGGCUAACUCCGUGCCAGCAGCCGCGGUAAUACGGGGGGAGCGAGCGUUAUUCGGAUUCAUUGGGCGUAAAGAGUUCGUAGGCGGUCAGAAUAGUCAGAGGUGAAAUCUAACGGCUUAACCGUUAAAUUGCCUUUGAAACUCUCUGACUUGAGUACGUGAGAGGAAAGCGGAAUUCUUGGUGUAGCGGUGAAAUGCGUGGAUAUCAAGAGGAACACCCGUGGCGAAAGCGGCUUUCUGGCACGAUACUGACGCUGAGGAACGAAAGCCAGGGAGCAAACGGGAUUAGAUACCC
rnacentral:rRNA from 1 species